AGGGGUGUACACGGGGAGGACUUUUCCAGCUGCUGUGCUGGUUGUUCCAUACAAGCUAAACUCACAUCACAGGGGUCCUCCAGGAGUCAAGAGCCAACCUCAAGUUGAAAAGAAAUCCCAGGAGCCAUCUGAAAGCAUGAGGCAAAUGCUGAAGGAAAUGCUGCAAGGAGGGCCUGGUGGGAAUCAUGACUUGGAUUACCUGCAAGUUCUUGUGGAUGAUGCUUUGAGUUUCCUGGAGCAACCUGGAGGCAAGUUCUCAGUGUCCCUUUCCUGACAGAAUAAUUCCUUUCAAUGUGGCAAGAGCUCAUUCAUGUGCCAUUUUCCUGAAGACCCUCUCAAGGUUGCUGGAUUGUGGCAAUCAUGGCCGAAUCUUUGCUCAGGCCCAAGAGGGAUCCCACAGGAUCCCUGUCAGGGGGAGCUUUUAAUCUUCUUUCCCUGGAAAUGCCAGUUGCUCCCUCUGUGUCGACACGGAGAAGGGCAGAGAGGGAAGGGGCCGGGCCCAGGGCUGUGCCCGGGGGGCUGUGCCUGGCGCGGCUCCUUUGCCGGCCCCUCGGAGCCGGAGGUCCUCCCGCUGCUGCUGCCAAGCCAUGGCCCUCGCUGGGGCUGAGUUUGGAGCUGGGGCAGCUCCAGGGAGUCCCUGGUGCCCUGACAGCUCUGCGUGGGGCUCCUUUGGUCCCAACAUGUAGAUCAGCAGGUAUGACAGAAUCUUCUCUGGCUGUUGAG